UGCGUUUUCUGAGUGCCCUGGUUACUGGCGCGCGCGGUUUCUAUCCAAUAAAAGAGCGCGUGAUUGUGUUCGCAGUUCUGCGGAGGAACUGUUUUACCCAACAUCCCUACUUUUCACAGGAUUAUCGCGUUGUUGUAAAUAUAUAUAUAUAUAUAUAUAUAUAUAUAUAUAUAUAUAUAUAUAUUUCGACUGACAUCACCUUCUUGUCCUUUGGGGUGACUAGUAAGCAGAGGUCGAGGUAAAUGGACGAAAAGAAGUGACGGGUGGACUUUUCUGGAGAAGUACACAGUGCUCAAAAUCUUUGUGCAUACUUUUAACUCUCUGGUCAGUUGUGGUAAUUUGGUACCUGUUCUGAGAAAAACAUAUUCACGCUGUGCUUACACGACCUGCUUGUCUCUCACUGAUGAAAUCACUAUUACCAGGUGAUCCAAUAGUGACAAACUUUUGGUGUAACACAAGCAAGAGGACAGGGAAGCAUCUGCUGUCUAUAAGGGUAAAAUUACAGGUUAUGAAAAGAGCCCCAUGGACCUCUGGGAAAAGAAAAAAAAAAAAGUGUUCCCUGACAAAAGCCUGAAACCUCCUACAUUAUAAUAUUUACUUAUGUUGUUUGCUCUGUCUGUAUGUCUUUCCCUUGUUGUUUUCUAUUUUUUAGGCACUUCAUGAGAACAUAGAACAUUUUUUUGUUUUUCUUUAUACUUUAUGGUAUUUUUCAAAUUUCAAAAAAUAAUUCAACUGAACCAUGCUUCUUAUAAGCUAUAUAGUUAAAAUGGUUCACUUACACAUGGUUACACUUAGUGGUGUACUUACAGUUAUUUGACUGUGUCACAGCUCAGUGUCAUGCCGUGUGCUCUACAUUCCUUUCCUGGAGAAAACAAAAUUAAAGGGAUAUUUAUGAAGCACAAAUUCUGGCUUUUAUGUUCCUUAACAUAAUUAAAGGUACAUAAAAAAAUACAAAAGUACACCAUUCACAUAGCAUGCAGUGUUUUUAUUUUUUUUUAUUUUUUGACGUGUAGUUCUCUUUCACUUGUACAUUAUGUUAAAUAUUUAAAUGAAUGCUGCAUAAUCUUCUUGGAGAUAAAUCCUUAUGUGUCAUGGUUUGUGACUGUGUGUGUGUGUAAGAAAGGAAACCCACCCCCAACAAAUAAGACCACGGAGAGGUGUUUUCUAAAAAUUACAAAAUGUGUGAUAAUAUAUAUA